CCGAUGUAGCUCAGUUGGUAGAGCAACUGAUUCGUAAUCAGUAGGUCGUGCGUUCAAGUCGCAUCAUCGGC
rnacentral:tRNA from 1 species